rnacentral:rRNA from 1 species
CCUACGGGUGGCAGCAGUGAGGAAUAUUGGUCAAUGGGCGGAAGCCUGAACCAGCCAAGUAGCGUGCAGGAUGACGGCCCUACGGGUUGUAAACUGCUUUUAUACGGGAAUAACGCGCCUUACGUGUAGGGCUUUGCAUGUACCGUAUGAAUAAGGACCGGCUAAUUCCGUGCCAGCAGCCGCGGUAAUACGGAAGGUGCGGGCGUUAUCCGGAUUUAUUGGGUUUAAAGGGAGCGUAGGCGGCCUGUCAAGCGUGUGGGGAAAUGUCCGGGCUCAACCCGGGCCUUGCAGCGCGAACUGGCGUGCUUGAGUCCGCGGAAGGCAGGCGGAAUUCGUCGUGUAGCGGUGAAAUGCUUAGAUAUGACGAAGAACCCCGAUUGCGAAGGCAGCUUGCUGCAGCGGAACUGACGCUGAUGCUCGAAAGCGCGGGUAUCGAACAGGAUUAGAUACCCGGGUAGUC